rnacentral:rRNA from 1 species
GCUUAUGCGUUGUUGGGUAGGGGAGCGUUCUGUAAGCCUGUGAAGGUGGCCUGUGAGGGUUGCUGGAGGUAUCAGAAGUGCGAAUGCUGACAUAAGUAACGAUAAAGCGGGUGAAAAGCCCGCUCGCCGGAAGACCAAGGGUUCCUGUCCAACGUUAAUCGGGGCAGGGUGAGUCGACCCCUAAGGCGAGGCCGAAAGGCGUAGUCGAUGGGAAACGGGUUAAUAUUCCCGUACUUGGUGUUACUGCGAAGGGGGGACGGAGAAGGCUAUGUUGGCCGGGCGACGGUUGUCCCGGUUUAAGCGUGUAGGUGUGUGUUCCAGGUAAAUCCGGUUCACUUUAACACUGAGGCGUGACGACGAGGCACUACGGUGCUGAAGCAACAAAUGCCCUGCUUCCAGGAAAAGCCUCUAAGCAUCAGGUAACAUCAAAUCGUACCCCAAACCGACACAGGUGGUCAGGUAGAGAAUACCAAGGCGCUUGAGAGAACUCGGGUGAAGGAACUAGGCAAAAUGGUGCCGUAACUUCGGGAGAAGGCACGCUGACAUGUAGGUGAAGUGAUUUACUCAUGGAGCUGAAGUCAGUCGAAGAUACCAGCUGGCUGCAACUGUUUAUUAAAAACACAGCACUGUGCAAACACGAAAGUGGACGUAUACGGUGUGACGCCUGCCCGGUGCCGGAAGGUUAAUUGAUGGGGUCAGCGCAAGCGAAGCUCCUGAUCGAAGCCCCGGUAAACGGCGGCCGUAACUAUAACGGUCCUAAGGUAGCGAAAUUCCUUGUCGGGUAAGUUCCGACCUGCACGAAUGGCGUAAUGAUGGCCAGGCUGUCUCCACCCGAGACUCAGUGAAAUUGAACUCGCUGUGAAGAUGCAGUGUACCCGCGGCAAGACGGAAAGACCCCGUGAACCUUUACUAUAGCUUGACACUGAACAUUGAGCCUUGAUGUGUAG